rnacentral:rRNA from 1 species
AUGGCUUUAGUACGUGAUCUUUGGUUGCCAAGUAGUUUGGGCACGAUGACAGGGCCAAUUUGGCCAUCUAUUGAGGCCGAAAAUUUUGAGUUGAGGCCUGGACUUAUUGCUCUUGUCUUGCAGAAUCAGUUUAGAGGAUUACCCAAUGAAGACCCUCAUGAGCACAUUUGUAAUGUCCUGGAGUAUGCCAAUACUGUCCAGUACCAUGGAGUUUCCCAAGAUGCUAUCAAGUGUAUGCUGUUCACAUUCUCUCUCAGAGAUGCUGCUAAGGACUGGUACUAUUCUUUGCCAUCAAGAUCAUACACUUGGGGUGAUAUUUCGCAAGCUUUCCUGCACAAAUAUUUUCCACUUUACAAGCAAGCUGCAAUUCGUGACCAGAUCCUCAGUUUUGCGCAAGAUGGAAGUGAGAGCUUGUAUGCAGCUUGGGAGAGAUAUAAGUAUUUGCUUAGAAAAUGUCCUAAUCAUGGGCAAAAGGAUUGGUUAGUGCUCCAGAUAUUCUAUAGAGGGCUGACACAUGCUUCGAGAGAUCUUAUUGAUAUGUCCGCUGGUGGAACAAUCAUGAACAAGACCGUUGAGGGUGAAAUUAUUCUCAUUGAGAGCAUUGCCUUCCACCAAAUGCAAUGGGGUUAUGAAAGGCCUAGUUAA